AUUGAACGCUGGCGGCAGGCUUAACACAUGCAAGUCGAGCCAGCGGCGGACGGGUGAGUAAUGUCUGCGAAACAGCCUGAUGGACGGAGAUAACUCCCGGAAACGGUAGCUAAUACCGCAUACCCUCAGAUGUGCCCAGAUGGGAUUAGCGAGUAGGUGGGGUAAUGGCUCACCUAGGCGACGAUCCCUAGCUGGUCUGAGAGGAUGACCAGCAACACUGGAAAUGAGACACGGUCCAGACGCCUACGGGAGGCAGGAGUGGGGAAUAUUGCACAAUGGGCGCAAGCCUGAUGCAGCCAUGCCGCGUGUGUGAAGAAGGCCUUCGGGUUGUAAAGCACUUUCAGCGAGGAGGCGUUACUCGCAGAAGAAGCACCGGCUAACGCCGUGCCAGCAGCCGCGGUAAUUC
rnacentral:rRNA from 1 species